rnacentral:rRNA from 1 species
GAUGAACGCUGGCGGCGUGCCUAAUACAUGCAAGUCGAGCGAACAGACGAGGAGCUUGCUCCUCUGACGUUAGCGGCGGACGGGUGAGUAACACGUGGAUAACCUACCUAUAAGACUGGGAUAACUUCGGGAAACCGGAGCUAAUACCGGAUAAUAUAUUGAACCGCAUGGUUCAAUAGUGAAAGACGGUUUUGCUGUCACUUAUAGAUGGAUCCGCGCCGCAUUAGCUAGUUGGUAAGGUAACGGCUUACCAAGGCGACGAUGCGUAGCCGACCUGAGAGGGUGAUCGGCCACACUGGAACUGGGACACGGUCCAGACUCCUACGGGAGGCAGAAGUAGGGAAUCUUCCGCAAUGGGCGAAAGCCUGACGGAGCAACGCCGCGUGAGUGAUGAAGGUCUUCGGAUCGUAAAACUCUGUUAUUAGGGAAGAACAAAUGUGUAAGUAACUAUGCACGUCUUGACGGUACCUAAUCAGAAAGCCACGGCUAACUACGUG